rnacentral:tRNA from 1 species
GCAGUGGUGGUUUGGUGAUAAAAUUCUCACCUUCCAUGUGGGAGACCCAGGUUAGAUUCCUGGCCAAUGCA